CCCUUAGAUGUUCUGGGCGGCCCGUGCACUACAAUGGCGCUUUCAGCGAGUUCCUAUGUUGAAUUUUCCUGGGUAUUCUUGGAAGCGGCGUCUUGACUUGGGAUAGAUCCUUGUAAUUGUUGGUUUUGAACGAGGAAUUCCUUGUAAUCGCGGUUGAUCAGCUCGCGUUGAAUACGUCCCUGCCCUUUGUACACACCGCCCGUCGCUCCUACCGAUGAAUCGUCCGGUGAAGUUCACAGAGUGGCGGUUCGUGGAGUUGCUCGCGAAGUGAAAUGGACCUCACGAUUUAGAGGAAGGAGAAGUCGUAACA
rnacentral:rRNA from 1 species